GACGAACGCUGGCGGCGUGCUUAACACGUGCAAGUCGAACGCGCCUGUCCUCUGGGUUUCUGGGGGGUGGGUGAGUGGCGAACGGGUGAGUAACACGUGAGUAACCUGCCCCCUUCUUCGGGAUAACGGUCUGAAAGGGCUGCUAAUACCGGGUAUUCACUGGUCUCCGCAUGGGGUCUGGUGGAAAGGUUUUUUUCUGGUGGGGGAUGGGCUCGCGGCCUAUCAGCUUGUUGGUGGGGUGAUGGCCCACCAAGGCUUUGACGGGUAGCCGGCCUGAGAGGGUGACCGGUCACAUUGGGACUGAGAUACGGCCCAGACUCCUACGGGAGGCAGCAGUGGGGAAGAUUGCACAAUGGGCGCAAGCCUGAUGCAGCGACGCCGCGUGAGGGAUGGAGGCCUUCGGGUUGUGAACCUCUUUCGACCGUGGUCAAGCCGCGACGUGGGUCGUGGUGAGGGUAGUGGGUAAAGAAGCGCCGGCUAACUACGUG
rnacentral:rRNA from 1 species